rnacentral:rRNA from 1 species
UACGUGGGGUGCAAGCGUUAUCCGGAAUUAUUGGGCGUAAAGAGCUCGUAGGCGGCUUGUCGCGUCGGAUGUGAAAGCCCGGGGCUUAACCCCGGGUCUGCAUUCGAUACGGGCAGGCUAGAGUUCGGUAGGGGAGAUCGGAAUUCCUGGUGUGAGCGGUGAAAUGCGCAGAUAUCAGGAGGAACACCGGUGGCGAAGGCGGAUCUCUGGGCCAUUACUGACGCUGAGGAGCGAAAGCGUGGGGGAGCGAACAGG